rnacentral:rRNA from 1 species
GAUGAACGCUGGCGGCGUGCCUAAUACAUGCAAGUCGAGCGAACAGACGAGGAGCUUGCUCCUCUGACGUUAGCGGCGGACGGGUGAGUAACACGUGGAUAACCUACCUAUAAGACUGGGAUAACUUCGGGAAACCGGAGCUAAUACCGGAUAAUAUAUUGAACCGCAUGGUUCAAUAGUGAAAGACGGUUUUGCUGUCACUUAUAGAUGGAUCCGCGCCGCAUUAGCUAGUUGGUAAGGUAACGGCUUACCAAAGCAACGAUGCGUAGCCGACCUGAGAGGGUGAUCGGCCACACUGGAACUGAGACACGGUCCAGACUCCUACGGGAGGCAGCAGCAGGGAAUCUUCCGCAAUGGGCGAAAGCUUGACGGAGCAACGCCGCGUGAGUGAUGAAGGUCUUCGGAUCGUAAAACUCUGUUAUUAGGGAAGAACAAAUGUGUAAGUAACUAUGCACGUCUUGACGGUACCUAAUCAGAAAGCCACGGCUAACUACGUG